rnacentral:rRNA from 1 species
UACGUAGGUGGCGAGCGUUGUCCGGAUUUACUGGGCGUAAAGAGCGCGCAGGCGGCUGGUCAAGUCCGAUGUGAAAGCUCCCGGCUUAACUGGGAAAUUGCAUCGGAAACUGAUCGGCUGGAAGGUGGGAGAGGGUAGCGGAAUUCCCGGUGUAGUGGUGAAAUGCGUAGAUAUCGGGAGGAACACCAGUGGCGAAAGCGGCUACCUGGAACGGUACUGACGCUGAGACGCGAAAGCGUGGGGAGCGAACAGG